UCAUUUUUGAGCGGCAGACUUCGCUGUGACAGUCAUGCGCGUCCUCAUUGCUCUUCUCAUCCUCACUGCUCUUCUGGCAGUUGCUUCAUCAGCCAUAUCUCUUUUGCCGAUGCUGCUACUUGGUCCGCCCUUUCAUGACCUGGGAUCCAAACGUGACUCGGGACCCAACAGAAGUGUUUGGCGUGGAAGUCAGUGAGGCUGCGGGGAGAAGGCUGCGAGUCGAUGCAGAGGACGCUUCAUGAAGUGGACCUACAACAAUGAGACGAACAAGUGUAAAAGAAUUAUCUGGGGCGGUUGUGGAAAUAAUGAAUGCAACGUCUUCCGAACGGAAGUGAAUGCCAGAAUAACUGCAAACGGCCUCGCGAUAAAGCAGAAUGAGCACCUUGAAGCCUUCUCGCUCCGGUAUAAGUGUAGCAAUAAAAUG